AACUAACGCUGGCGACGCGUAUUAAGCAUGCAAGUCGAACGGGAUUAGCGCCUUCGGGUGCUAUUGAGAGUGGCGGACGGGUGAGUAACACGUAGGUGAUCUACCCCCGGGUGGGGGAUAGUCCAUGGAAACAUGGGGUAAUACCGCAUGAGGUCCUAUAGUCUAAGGACUAUUGGAUGAAAGGCGCAGGAUGUGCCGACUGGGGAUGAGCCUGCGGUCCAUUAGUUAGUUGGUGGGGUAAAGGCCUACCAAGGCGAUGAUGGAUAGCCGGCCUGAGAGGGUGCACGGUCACACUGGGACUGAGACACGGCCCAGACUCCUACGGGAGGCAGCAGCUAAGAAUCUUCCGCAAUGGGCGAAAGCCUGACGGAGCGACGCCGCGUGGACGAAGAAGGCAGGAAUGUUGUAAAGUCCUUUUCUUGAUGAAGAAUAAGGUUAUGAGUGGAACGCGUAACUGAUGACGUUAAUCAAGGAAUAAGCCCCGGCUAAUUACGUGCCAGCAGCCGCGGUAACACGUAUGGGGCGAGCGUUGUUCGGAAUUAUUGGGCGUAAAGGGCGCGUAGGCGGCUUUACAAGCCUGGUGUGAAAGGCUCCGGCUCAACCGGAGGACUGCGCUGGGAACUGUAAAGCUAGAGUUCAGGAGGGGGAGCUGGAAUUCCUGGUGUAGGGGUGAAAUCUGUAGAUAUCACGAAGAACACCGGUGGCGAAAGCGAGCUCCUGGGCCUGAGGACUGACGCUGAGGCGCGAAAGCGUGGGGAGCGAACAGGAUUAGAUACCCUGGUAGUCCACGCUGUAAACGAUGUGCACUGGGUGUUGGUGCUUAAAGAGGCAUCAGUGCCGCAGCUAAGGCGAUAAGUGCACCGCCUGGGGAGUAUGCUCGCAAGGGUAAAACUCAAAGGAAUUGACGGGGGCCUGCACAAGCGGUGGAGCAUGUGGUUUAAUUCGAUGAUACGCGAGGAACCUUACCAGGGCUUGACAUGUGCGUGGCGGUCUGUGAGAGCAGGCUUUCUCUUAUGAGACGUGCACACAGGUGCUGCAUGGUUGUCGUCAGCUCGUGUCGUGAGAUGUUGGGUUAAGUCCCGCAACGAGCGCAACCCUUACUGUCUGUUACCAGCAGCUUAUGGCUGGGGACUCAGGCAGAACUGCCGGUGACAAACCGGAGGAAGGUGGGGAUGACGUCAAAUCAUCAUGGCCCUUAUGUCCUGGGCUACACACGUGCUACAAUGGUCGGUACAGCGCGUCUGCAAGACGGUGACGUUGAGCCAAUCGCUUAAAGCCGGCCUUAAGUUCGGAUUGGAGUCUGAAACUCGACUCCAUGAAGUUGGAAUCGCUAGUAAUCGCGCAUCAGAAUGGCGCGGUGAAUACGUUCCCGGGCCUUGUACACACCGCCCGUCACACCACCCGAGUUGGGGGUACCCGAAGUCACUGGUCUAACCUGUGAAGGGGGACGGCGCCGAAGGUAUGCCUGGUAAGGGGGGUG
rnacentral:rRNA from 1 species